ACUCCUUCUCUUUCUGCCCAAUUCUCUUCCGCGCCUGUUUCUUCCUCCUGGUCCUCAUCGGAGCCGUCGUCGACGUCGAAGAAGCCAUCUUCAUCAAAAUCGCUUUCUAUCUCGGCAUUUGUAGGUGUUGCAUGUAUCUGUACAACCAGGUUAUGCUUGAAUGUAUGGCUCAAUGACUUAGAUGAAAGGUUAGGAAGGUAGUUUUCCUUUUCAGGGAAAGAAGGCUUAUCGCAAGCCAAAGAUACAGGGGUGACUUUGAAAGAGGAGGACAAGGCAGUAUCCUACGUAGGAAUGAAGGGACUGGUGUUCCAGCAGUAGACGUUAGGCUCUGGGCAGCACCAUGAUGGCAUAAGGGUGUGAAGGUGUGAUGGGUCAGGCUGCGAAAACAGAUUGGACGAAAAGUGAAUAGGAGGAGGUGCAUACAACAGAACUAUGCAGGCAAAAUAAAGUAGGACCACGAUGUGAAGGUUUCCACCACUGUGGUAAGAAUCUAUUACGAGGCCAUGCAACUAUACAAAGGGAAGAAAGUGAUUGCGUCAGUGGGUGAUGAUACAGAGGUCUGCAUGUGAUACAGAGUGUUUGUAGGGUUUUUUAGAAGAGAGGAACACACAGGAAGAAACUAGGGUUUAAGAGUGUUUGUGCUUUGUAUAUUAGGUACAUGUGCCAAAUAUGUUUACUACAUUUACUCUAAAAGGGAUGACAGUAAUUACUAUGAUUAAACAAGAUAGGACAAUGUUUUCGCAUAAGAAAUGUUCAAACUUUAAGUUACCAAGCUAUCAAUAAUGUCAUAGUGUGUUAUAUGAUCCUAAU
rnacentral:lncRNA from 1 species